rnacentral:rRNA from 1 species
UACGGAGGGUGCAAGCGUUAUCCGGAUUCACUGGGUUUAAAGGGAGCGUAGGUGGCUUUGUAAGUCAGUGGUGAAAUAUUGCGGCUUAACCGCAAAACUGCCAUUGAUACUGCUUAGCUUGAAUCACGUCGAGGUGGAUGGAAUAAUACAUGUAGCGGUGAAAUGCUUAGAUAUGUAUUAGAACACCGAUUGCGAAGGCAGUUCACUAGGCGUGUAUUGACACUGAGGCUCGAAAGCGUGGGGAUCAAACAGGUAUUAGAUGACCCUAG